GUGUUGAUCUGAAUAAAUCUCUAGGAGGAGUUCGUUAAAGUACAACCCCUGAAAAUGGCAAAAACAACACAAAUUUUGCAGAGAAAAUUCAAAAUAACUGACUUCCUGUUGGGAUUCGAAUUUCGUACCAAGAGACUUUUUUGUAGGUAUUGGUGUGUUACAUGUGCGUAACCGAUUUUUGUACAUGUACGUGAAAUGUAGCUCGAGGCGCACUCCGUUGAAAAUGUAUAGGUGGCGCUAUCGAGGCAUUUUGCCACACCCAAUGGAAUAUUGGCCAUCAGAUGUGUUCAGGCCAGGACUCUUAUCGAACAUGUGAAGUUUGGGCAAGAUCGGACAUUUUAUGCCUGAGUUACAAUAACUUUUAUUCCCAUGGCGAGACAUCGAAUUUUGUGACGGCGCCAUGGACACGCCCUUUAACGAAAACUCAAGAUCUUCACAAUUUAACAUCGCACAGGCCUUUAGAAUAGAGUGACUGAAAAAAAAAAUUGAUGUCAUAAAAUUUCUCGGGGUAGUUUGUUACAGCGUAAAAUAUGUCACUUCCUGUUGCCAGUAGGUGGCGCUAUGACUAUAACUGAAUAUGGGCAUAUCAAUCUGUUCAGGUCAGG
ensembl:lncRNA